ACCAGUGCUUUUGAGCCUUGCUUGGGCCU
rnacentral:piRNA from 1 species